GCUGGCGUAGCUCAAUGUGGUAGAGCAACUGACUUGUAAUCAGUAGGUUGCUCUUUCAACUCCUGUCACCAGCU
rnacentral:tRNA from 1 species